UGCAAAAACGAAAAGCAAAUCCUUAAUCUGAAGAGAAUAGCCAUCCAAACGAACCACAGGUGCAGAUGCCAUCUGUUCCCAUUUCAAUUCAGGAGCAGGCAAAUCAGCAUAGGUCAUGGAUAACGCUCUCUCAGGGAGCCCAAGUGGUAGCAAGGGAAACAUAAGCAGAAGAAGAAGCGGAAUGAAAAUCGCGGGUCAAGGAAAUUGCUAGAAGAGCAACAAAUGCAAGAAGAAGAAUGAUGGGUUUUGCGAAACUGUGCUUUGCUGUUGAUCUUAUCAUUAUGUUGUAGUAAUAAUAAUAAUAAUAAUACAGAAGCCCUGGGAAGAAUACCCAUUUGCGCCAUUGAUAUAAGAUAGGUUUAUUAAUUGGAGGAUUGUUUUAAGAGGAAGAAGCGCGGCCGCUAAUGGUUUUUCACUUUGCCCCUUGGUUUUCUGCCUCUCUUUUUUUUUUUUUUCUGAUUCCUUCCCCUCUUCUUUUGGUCGGAAAAAAAAAAUAUUCUUACUUGAUGUACUUGUUAAAUUUCUAUUUUAAUCGUUAAUUUUUAAAUAUUUUUA